GCAACCAUGCUCAGAACAGCAGUGACUAGCAGCUGCUGGAAUUACAGAAGGGAGACAAAAGCUUUCAACCCUCUACUGCACGUGAUAUUACUUUAUAGUAAUUUAUCUUAGUCCAGGUGCAGUGCCUCACACCUGUAAUCCCAGCACUUUGGAAGGCUGAGCUGGGAGGAUUGCUUGAGGCUGGCAGUUCAAGACUUCUUCCAUUUUAAGGGGCCUUGUGAUUACAGCUGGUCCAUCUGGAUAUUCUAAGAUAUUCUCCCUAUUUUAAGGAAGAUGAAUAAGAAGAGGGAGCCUCUUCCAGGAAGAUAAAUGCCGAAAAAGCUACCUUUUCUCCAUCUGGGGACGGAUGAUACCAAAAUGAUGCCCCCUUCCAGGCUGAUAAGGUUUGGCUGGGUCCCCACCCAAAUCUCAUCUUGAAUUCCCACAUAUUGUGGGAGAGACCCAGUGGGAGGAGAGAAAUCUGAAAUCUGAGGUGCAGUUGAUUUGAAUCCAGGAAAUCUAAGGAAAAAGUUCAAGCUCUUAAUCAUUUCAUACCCUUCUUGUUGCUAACUUAAACUUUUUUUUUAAAAAAGUUAAUCUUGUCUAUGAAGCAUGAAUCUAUAAUACUAGGGAAAAAACUGGCUAACUUGAAGAAAAAAUAAAUUGAAAUGAAAAGCAAUUAAUUCCUCUUAAUAUGAAUAAAGGAUGAUCUAAAUGCUUUUUGAGAAAUGAUUUCAAGUAAUGAAAUUUACAGGAAAAAAAAUCCUCUUUUCUGAAUAAGCAAUCAUGGUAUUAAUCCUAAGUUCUUUAAUCUUUAUAUUUACAUUUGUUCUUAAAGCUUGGUGUUUUCUACCAAAACCAUCUGUGUAUCUCUGUCUAUCUUCACGUGUUCUUUCUGUAUACAUUCAUGCAUGCGCACACACACAGAGAUUUCAUUAUUUAUUCAUAAAAUAGUUGAAAAUCACUGCUUUGGCCCUUUUAACUGUAUAUAAAUCUCUCAGUUCUCUAGUGCUUGGAAAGGAAGUAUUUAUUUUAUUUUAUUUUUAUUUUAUUUAUUUUGAGAUAGAGUCUCACUCUGUCGCCCAGGCUGGAGUGCAGUGGUGCAAUCCUGGCUCACUGCAGCCUUAAUCUCCAAGGCUCAAGCUGUCCUCCCACCUCAGCUUCCCUCGUAGCUGGGACCACAGGCAUGCCACCACACCCAGCUAAUUUUUGUGUUUUUUUGGAGAGAUGGGGUUUCCUCAUGUUGCCCACGGUGGUCUGGAACUCCUGGGUUCAAGUGACUGGCCCUACCUUGGCCUCCCAAAGUUCUAUGAUUAGAGGCGUGAGUCACCCUCCCUCGCCAGGAAGUAUGACAAACAGAAUGAGCCUGCAACCAGAGUCUUUGAUUCAAACCCUUGCCCACCAUUCACUGACUGUUUGAGCCUCAGUAUCUUUAUGUGGAACAUGAGGUCUAUAACAGAACUUAACAAACAGGAGAUAAUUAUUAAUGAGAUUAAAUGCAAUGAGGAAUGUCAGUGGUACCCUCUCUGUAGAGGAACUUAAGGAGUUGAGCCUCCAAGCUUCUUUCUUGAUAUGCUGAUGAAAGACAUAGCCUAGUUUAUGGUGGGUGCUGCUUAAAUUCCAGCCCUCUCUCUUUCAGUCAACAGGCUUGGACUCAAAAUAAGCCCCAUUCAGGCUGAUUUGCCUGCCUAUAUCAGUCACAAACUGCACCUCUUGCAAAAACAGCUUUCCCUCCAAUGUGUACUGGCCUUGAAGAAGACUGAGAUAUAGGGAAACAAAGAUCUUUAAAAUCAAGUUACUGAAAGGUCACUGAAAUAAUAUACAGUGAAAGAUGGAUGAUGCCAUCAUUGUAUAAAUAAAGUCAGUACAACCAUUAAAGAACUUACAAGUAUGGGUUUUUUCUUCUCUAUGGUUAUGAUCAUGGAUAGAAUAAUUUUGAUAUGACCAUGAUUAUAUUAUAUCUGGAUGGUUUAGAUGUCUUUCAGAAAAUUAAUAUUUAUUCUUUGGCAUUAUAUAAUUUCUUAAAUAAACAUGAAGAGAGAAAUGUUUUGAAUAACAAUUCUCUAGUCCUAAAUUUUCUAUACUUAGCAUGUAUUGUUUCUUUUUUAAUAACUUACAACAACUUUAUUUUAAAAUUAGUUUAGGCAAUGUUUUUUGAAAUGGCUUCUUUGAAGUCGCUUCUUGGAAUGAUUAUAGCCAUUGUGUAAAGCCAGCAAUAAAAGAAGGAUUUGAAAGUAGAGAGUAGAACAGUAGUUACCAAGGGCUGGAGGCAGGGGUAGAGGAGAUAUUGAUCAAAGGACACAAAAUUUCAUUUAGGAGGAAUAAGUUAAAGAGACGCACUGUCACAUGGUGACUACAGUUAAUAACAAUGUGUUGUGUUAUUGAAAAUCCAUGAGGGUAGAUUUUAAGUGUUCUGACCACAAAAAAAAGCAUGUGAGGUAACACAUACAUUAAUUAGCUCUAUGUAGCCAUUCUAUAAUGUAUACAUGUUUCAAAACAACAUGUACACAAUAAAUAUAUAUGAUUUUUUAUUUGCUAGUUAAGAAAAGCGUUUGACACUUCAAAAAAUAAAAUACUUUUGGCAUAUGAAGAGUCAUUUACAAUCACGCCCCAGACUUUGUUGUUAAUAUUAGCAGGGAUAGUCAUUGCUUAUAAGGUCUUCACAUGCUUAUAAAAGAAGUUUCACUAAAUCUAGUUAGCAUUGAGAAGUGUUGACAAGAAGAGUUGAAAAUAAACCUCAAGACAACUUUCUGAUUUAAAAUUCUAUUUCUUGGUGUGUGAAUGUUAUUUUUGAGGAAACAUACACUUUAUUGCAACAUAAUAAAUAAAUGAGAAAAUAAGACAAUGUUAUUUUACCCAAUAUAGCAGGGUGGUCUUUAAAUAAGUGCAUAAAUAGCCCAUGAGAUAGUUUGAAGCUUUCAGCUUUGUCACCCUGUUGGUCUAGUCAAAUGACUCACAUAUUAGCAAUUUGUUUGCAAAACAUCUUCUUCUUAUAGUUUCCAUUGGAUUACAUAAGAUUGUUUUAUCCUGAUAGAUAAUCUGGACUUUCUUCACCAAAAGAAGGUUAAUAUUCCUACAAAUUUUAAACCAAAACAUUAAAUUUUAUACUGAAAAUACAUCUUCCUUGAGGUCAAGACUGUAGGGGAAGGCAGAUUUUUGGUGUCCUUAUCCAAAUGAUAGCCUUGCAAACCAGGCUGUUUUCAUGAGAGGAUUUUCUUACUUUAUUUAAAUCUUCUCUGAGCGUAACAGGAAAUAAAUCUGGAGACUCCAGCUUCUGGAGCUUUUCCACAAAGAAGAUAAUCUUUCUGAUUUAAAGACACAAUAAACCCUUCUUUCUCCAUGUUCUUCAAAAUCCAUAGAGCUCAAAUAACCACUUCUUUUCAUUCGCUAUAGAACAGCAUUAUUUCCAAAAUUGCAUUUAAAUCAUCUACAUACAGAAGGUUAAAUUUGUUUAAAAAUGAAUAAUUACAUUCAUUUCUUUACAUUUGUACUCUGAAUAAUGUGGAAUUUAAACUAGGUGUGGUUACACUUUAGCUAUGAGACAUUGGGCCGGUCACUUAUUCUCUUCAGAGGAUUAAAAGGAUAAAAUAUUUUAAAAAAUAUCUAUCUAUCUAUCUAUCUAUCUAUCUAUCUAUCUAUCUAUAGAUAGAUACACACACACACACACACACACACACAUAGAGUUCUUAUACAAACCCUCAUUAAAUGUAAUCCAAGUUGUAGACCCACAGUACUGAUUUAGGUAGGCAAAAUAUCAAAUUAACAACAACAAAAAAAUACCAGACAUAAAAAAUGUGUCUCAUAUUCUGGACACAUCAUUAUUCUCUGAAAUAUCCACAGACCACUCUAAUCUGAGCACACCCUAGGUGGACCAGGAACACAAGUAAUGUGAAUGACUGCAAUAAUAAAAUGAGUAUGUUAAACUAUCAAUUACUUGGCUUUGAUUCUGUGCUUGAAUUAUAUUCAAUGAGCCUCUGCUGUGUGCCAGACAAUGUUCUGGGCAGCAGCGACACACUGGUGAACAGUCCUUGCCUAUAUGGAGCUUACAUUUUAGAAGGCAAAGACAGACCAAUAAAUAAGUCAGCAAACAAUUCGUCAAUAUAACUUCAAAUAAUAACAAAUACUUUGAAGAAAAUCAACUAGGGUCGUGCCUGAGGGCUUGGGAAUUAAAUGUACUUUAGUUUGGAAACCAGAGAAGUCAUGGCUGAGGGAUUUAUAUCUUCACUGACAACUGAAGACCCAGAAGAAACCAGCAAGGCAAAGGCUGGGAAUCAAUGUCUCCAGCUGUGUCCUUGAGGAAGCAGGAAAUGCAAACGGCUCUAAAGGAAGAAGGAGCUUACUUAUUUGCCAAACAGAAAGAAAGUUGAUGAGAGCAAUGAAACCGCAAAUUAAUUAAGAUCAAGAAAACACUAACACCAAAACUCAAAGGAUGUUGGAAGCUUGAAAGAAGACCUCAAAGACAAUAUUUGGGCAUAUUUUAAGAGCAUCAUCAAUACUCUGUAUGGCACCGAGGAUGACUUAUGGAAAAACAGAGUUAUCAAUGACUUUUUGUUGGAAAUUAUCCAAAAGAGUAAGAUUCUGCAAAGAAGUUUGUGAAUUUAUUUACCAGUUUAUUUUUAUUUCUAUUUUCAUUUUACGAUUGCCUGAGAGUGAUAUUUGAAAAGUGUUAUAUUCAUAUAUGUCUAAAUUUUUCAACAAGUAUCAAAUAAAGAUUCUAAGUUAUAAGAAAGCAUUGUGUCAGUUUAAUUGUAUGAUUUCUUAAAAUUAGCUCCACAUGAAUGAACGGUACAUCUAAAAUUGAUAAUUUGAUAAUUGUCUCAGAUUUGAGGAAAUACUAUCCUCCAUUAUAGACAAAGGCUAGAAGGACCUGGGAAUGGGGAGGGGGACUAUGUAACAGACAAAUAUUCCAAUCUCAGAUGAUUAUUCUUCCACUCUCCUUUUUUCUCUGAGUCUAAGCUCAUCUUUUACUGUCCCUCUGGACUUUAACAGGCACUCUGCUAUUAAUGCUUAAAUGGAGCAUCUACUUAAUUAGAUUACAGCAUUUACAGGACAUAAACCUUUGGGUACAUGUCAAAGACCCUGGACUUUAGGCCACAACCAAUGUAAGUGGAUGAUUUCCCAAUGAUAGCAUAUGCCUAGAAAGGUUUGGCUUUAUUUUCCGUGAGUUCUUAUCUAAUGCAAAAUAAACUUUGAAUUUAUAUUUCUUGAGUUUUCCAGCACACAAUGUUUUGCUUUUAUAACUUCUAUUAUUAAAAGAAGAAUAUUAUACUAUUUGUAAAUGUUUUUGAUGUGCAAAAUUUUAUACCUAUAGGUUGCAAAAUCUGUGCAUUGCACUAGAAAUUUUGCUGAGUUUUCAGCUCUUAGCCACAGCAUUUAAGUAGUACAAUUCAUUUCAUGUUUAACUUUAUUUAAAUAUCAUAGUGAGUAGACCAUUGGUUUUCAGAUUAUUUUAAAUUUCUUUGUAUAAUCUGAGUUGAUUUCCCAUUGUGUCUGCCAAAGUACUCUUCUUUCUUCUUGAGGACAGUGCACAUUUAGAAAUUACCUUUUUGAAACAUCUUGAAAACUGACUCUUCAAAAAUGACUUUCAAUACUUAAGAACAUGACAAAAAUAUAUUUAUAACAUAACUUUUAGUUACAUGUUAUGCCGUAUAUAAAACUAUGUACUUGUGAAUGUUCAAUACCUAUCCCCCUCCCCCCAAAACAGCAACUUGUUUUGUUGCAUUUGCUGAUUUAUAUAGUAUAAAUACUCCCACAUGUCCAGUUUCAAAGUACCAACUUGAUGUCACUGGACAUACAGUUAGGAAGGGUAUCAUUAUAAAGUAUUUUUACAGUAAAGAAGCAAUAAAUGUAAGCAACUACAAAAGCACACAUAAUAGUGAAAUGCAUUAAAAUAAUUGGGAAAUACUAAGUUUUGAGUAUUACUUCGUUUGCUUAUUUUGUAAUUUAUUUAAUUGUAAGUUUAUAUAAUCCAAUUUUUGGCAAUGGCUGUAUUUAACAACUGGUUUCCAAAUUUACAAAUGUACUCUUUUAAGCCUACAUGAACUGGGUGUAGUUCAGCACUCCUGUAUAUAUGAUAUUUGAUAUUGCCUAUUAUAACACAGGUUAAAAAUAGUGAAGCUUAAACUCAUUUGAGACUUCCUCCCUCCCUCUUUUCCUUCCUUCCUUCCUUUCCUUUCCCUCCUUCCUUCCUUCCUUCCCUCCAUCCUUAAGUUCUUACAGAUUUGCUAGACAUGUCAAAAUGAGUAGAAAUCAGUAUGAACAAAUUAAAUUAUAAAGUUACCUAUUUAUGCUAUUGAUAUGGGGACAGACAGAAAUAAGAAGGUUAUACUUUUCCAGGAUUCUAUAAUAUAUAUUUUCUUUAUAUGUCAGGAUAUAUGUACGUAUCCAGUUAUAUAUCUUGAUACAGUUAUUUUUGUUUCUAUGAAACCAUGUUGAAUGCUAUGAAAAGCCUUGAUAAUGGUAAGUUACUAAAAAAGGCUCUCUAGGUAUGAGCAAGAAGGCGAAAGACUGAGAUAAAAAAUACCAGCUGUUAGUUUCUGUAUUCUGAUUGCUUUGCUAGUAUCUUUAUAUUCUUGGACCACUUUAAAGAAAUAAAACCCAACAUUUUAAAUAAUGAAUUUCUGAGG
rnacentral:lncRNA from 10 species